GAAGGAACAGUUGGACUGCACACUGUCUGGAUCCAUUAUUGCCCUCAGAUUUCAGGCAGGUGCACUAUUGACAACCGGGUCACCCGGGUGGCCUGGCUAAACCGCAGCACCAUCCUCUAUGCUGGGAAUGACAAGUGGUGCCUGGAUCCUCGCGUGGUCCUCCUGAGCAACACCCAAACGCAGUACAGCAUCGAGAUCCAGAACGUGGAUGUGUAUGACGAGGGCCCUUACACCUGCUCGGUGCAGACAGACAACCACCCAAAGACCUCUAGGGUCCACCUCAUUGUGCAAGUAUCUCCCAAAAUUGUAGAGAUUUCUUCAGAUAUCUCCAUUAAUGAAGGGAACAAUAUCAGCCUCACCUGCAUAGCAACUGGUAGACCAGAGCCUACGGUUACUUGGAGACACAUCUCCCCCAAAGCGGUUGGCUUUGUGAGUGAAGACGAAUACUUGGAAAUUCAGGGCAUCACCCGGGAGCAGUCAGGGGACUACGAGUGCAGUGCCUCCAAUGACGUGGCCGCGCCCGUGGUACGGAGAGUAAAGGUCACCGUGAACUAUCCACCAUACAUUUCAGAAGCCAAGGGUACAGGUGUCCCCGUGGGACAAAAGGGGACACUGCAGUGUGAAGCCUCAGCAGUCCCCUCAGCAGAAUUCCAGUGGUACAAGGAUGACAAAAGACUGAUUGAAGGAAAGAAAGGGGUGAAAGUGGAAAACAGACCUUUCCUCUCAAAACUCAUCUUCUUCAAUGUCUCUGAACAUGACUAUGGGAACUACACUUGCAUGGCCUCCAACAAACUGGGCCACACCAAUGCCAGCAUCAUGCUAUUUG
rnacentral:sRNA from 1 species